rnacentral:rRNA from 1 species
ACGGCCAUACCAUGCUAAAUAUACCGGUUCUCGUUAGAUCACCGAAGUCAAACAUCAUUGGGCGCGGUCAGUACCUGGGUGGGUGACCACCUGGGAACACCGCGUGCCGUU